UUUAUAGACUUACUGAGGAGUAUAUGCAAAGCGCUCAUAACUUUGUAAAAACUGCUGAAAAGAAUUUUAGUUAUCCGGAGAAGCUAUUGUGCCCUUGCAAAGAAUGUCGAAACUUAAGUCAUCAAAGUGGUAACAUUGUUUAUGUACACUUGGUAAUCAAUGGUAUGGAUCCAACAUACACCACUUGGUUUCAUCAUGGGGAAGAAGUAAACACAAAUGAAGAGUUAGAAAACGUUGAGAGGAAUGACAUAAAUGAGUUAUACAAGGCUGCCUAUGCCGAUGAGAAUGAUUAUAUAGAACAAUCUCAAGAACAUAGGUUAGAGGAGUUAAAUGAAAAAAUGAACGAUUGGUUAGAACCAUUAUGUCCUGGUUGUUCAAAAUACAACAAGUUAUCUGCCUUUAUUGCCUUAUUCAAGCAUAAGACCAUGACGGAUGGUCUGAUUGUACUUUUGAUGGAUUGCUAGAGUUAUUGCAUGACAUGUUACCCGAACCCAAUGUGUUGAUAAGGUCGACGUAUAAAGUACGAAAGUUUAUGAGAGAAUUUCAUCUAGGGUAUGAAAAGAUUCAUGCUUGCCUUAACGAUUGUUGUUUGUUUAGAAAGGAUAAGACAGAUCUUGAUAAAUGUCCAAAGUGUCAUGCUACAAGGUGGAAGGUUGACAAACAUACCAAAAAAGCUAAAGUCCGUGUUCCUGCUAAAGUCUUGAGAUAUCUUCCGAUAAUUCUUAGGUUCAAGGCUAUGUUCAAGAGUGAAAAGAUGGCUCAAGAUUUAAGGUGGCAUUCCAAUAAUAAAAGCGAUGAUGGAAAGAUGCAUCACCCGGUCGACUCUCCAGCAUGGCAACUAGUGAAUGUAAAGUGGCCUACAUUUGCAAAUGAACCACGCAAUCUUAGACUUGGAUUGUCCAUAGAUGGAUUUAAUCCGUUUGGUAAUUUAAGCUUAACUUAUAGCUGUUGGCCAGUGAUGCUUGUGAUAUACAACUUGCCACCAUUUUUGUGCAUGAAAAAGGAAAACAUCAUUAAAGGCCAACCAAGCAAGAUUAGACUCACCAGCAAGCAAGGAAUACUAGAAGUGUUGCUUAGAAGCUGCUUCUUAGAGAAGAUUCUCCUAAAUUUGAACAGUGUGGCUCAAAUGUUUGUGAAAACAAUAGCAUAGGUGACCCAAUUGAUAGGAAUGAAGCAUUCUAGUCACCAAUAACCUCACCCACUGCACCUUCUAGGAGGUCUCUUAGACUGCAAGGAGUUGAAGCUUCUCCUGAAAAUAACAAUCCAACUCAAAACCAUACAAGAGAGUGUGCACCAGAACCUGAGGAGACACCUAUUCAGAGGUUUCGUAGACUGCAAGGAGUUGAAGCUUCGCCUGAAAAUAAGACUCCAACUCAGAGGAAUACAAGUGAAGGUGCACAACCUGAGGAGACACCUAUUCGGAGGUCUUGUAGAUUGCAAGGAGUUGAAGCUUCUCCUGCACCAGAACCUGAGGAGACAACAACAGAAUCUAUAGGAAAGUCUAAAAAUCCAAAUGGAAAGAGAGGGAAGACAAAGAUGAAAGGAAUUGCCUUAGAUGACAGCGAUCCAAUUUCAGUGUGAUUCAACGCAAUGGGCCAACCAAUAGGUAACGGCUCAGUUAGCUUGCCUUCCUUUCUAGGGCCACUUGUUAGGGAGAUUGUUCCCGUAACCAUUAAUGAUUGGAGAAAGUUACAACCAGGGAUGAAAGAAGUGCUUUGGAAAGCUAUCCGGGCCAGAUAUAAAGUGGAUAAACAAUGGCAGAAGCAUCAAAUAUUCAAGAACAUGGGUGCAAUUUGGAGGGCCUCAAAAUCAAGAUUACUUUACCAAGUUAAGAAAGCCAAAAACGAAGAAGAAAGACUAAAAUUGAAGCCUGAUAACAUCAAAUCAGUUGCAAAGUGGAAAGCUUUUGUAAGGGAGAAAACAAGUGCAGCUUUUCAGGAAAGGAGUCAAAAGUAUCAAAACAUGAGGAAGAAACUACUUCCACAUACAACCAGCCGCAAAGGAUAAGCUCGCUUGAUUGAAGACAUGGAUAGGAAAAUUUGGAACAAAUACAAAAUGAAAGACCCACUUCUGAUCAAAGUGAUUUGCUAGAUGAUGCUCUAGCUUCUUACUUUGGUCCUGACCGGAAGCAAUGGGCCUUGGGAUGACUAAGAUAAAACAUUCUGUUUUGUCAGAACAGGAUGAUCACUUGUGGGCUUUACAAGAUAAAUGUAACAAAACAGUAGCGGAUGUCAAAUAAUUGAAAGAGAUAAUUUCUCUAUUGCUGAAAAGUCAAGUAAGUGGCAUCAGAAGUGAGGAUCAAUCUAAUGCAAACGUGCAUUCACUAGUGAGUGAGUAAUAAUUUACCCAAAAUGACCAAUAAGAGUAAGCUAUUAGAUUGGGUUAGAACCGGAGAAGUUGUUGCUGAAGGGCGUUUGAUGCCAAGGGACCCGAAAGACCUCGUUCACCAUGUACCUCUUGGACCGAAUGCAGUUAGACUGUGGGUGAAUGUGGCAAAAAAACUGGACGCUUUCUUGUGGAGGUCAACGAGUGAGAUGAGUACCAUUAAAGAAGUAAUUUCAAGUAAUGUGGCACGGCCUGCUGAUAAAAUUUUAAAGGGGCAAUGAAGACUCAUGCUUGCUCCAACUAUCUACAUAACAAUACAUGUUAAACAGUGGAGAUGACUUUUUUGUUGAAACAUUUUGUCAAGAUGGAAGGAUUUACUUCACCAUUUCAUUUA